AGAGUUUGAUCCUGGCUCAGGAUGAACGCUGGCGGCGUGCCUAAUACAUGCAAGUCGAGCGAACGGACGAGAAGCUUGCUUCUCUGAUGUUAGCGGCGGACGGGUGAGUAACACGUGGAUAACCUACCUAUAAGACUGGGAUAACUUCGGGAAACCGGAGCUAAUACCAGAUAAUAUUUUGAACCGCAUGGUUCAAAAGUGAAAGACGGUCUUGCUGUCACUUAUAGAUGGAUCCGCGCUGCAUUAGCUAGUUGGUAAGGUAACGGCUUACCAAGGCAACGAUGCAUAGCCGACCUGAGAGGGUGAUCGGCCACACUGGAACUGAGACACGGUCCAGACUCCUACGGGAGGCAGCAGUAGGGAAUCUUCCGCAAUGGGCGAAAGCCUGACGGAGCAACGCCGCGUGAGUGAUGAAAGUCUUCGGAUCGUAAAACUCUGUUAUUAGGGAAGAACAUAUGUGUAAGUAACUGUGCACAUCUUGACGGUACCUAAUCAGAAAGCCACGGCUAACUACGUGCCAGCAGCCGCGGUAAUACGUAGGUGGCAAGCGUUAUCCGGAAUUAUUGGGCGUAAAGCGCGCGUAGGCGGUUUUUUAAGUCUGAUGUGAAAGCCCACGGCUCAACCGUGGAGGGUCAUUGGAAAUUGGAAAACUUGAGUGCAGAAGAGGAAAGUGGAAUUCCAUGUGUAGCGGUGGAAUGCGCAGAGAUAUGGAGGAACACCAGUGGCGAAGGCGACUUUCUGGUCUGUAACUGACGCUGAUGUGCGAAAGCGUGGGGAUCAAACAGGAUUAGAUACCCUGGUAGUCC
rnacentral:rRNA from 1 species